GGUUCGAAUCCUUCCGUCCCAGA
rnacentral:tRNA from 24 species